CGGCGACUGGACACCAAGAUCAAAAGGCGCGCGUGCGAGAGAGCGCCUCGUCGCCGGCGUCGCGGUAAGAGCAACCGCGUGGCCGCGACUGCGUGCACUGCCGCCUUAGCUUGGUGGUGACCUGGUGGACCGUGGAAGUGGAAGCCGGCGACCUGACGCUAGCGCCAUGGAAAGAUGAAGUCGCCGCGGCCUUUCACACCUGUCGGCAGCCACCGAAGCGCCCGUCCGCGCGUUGGUGUCGCCGCCGCCUCGUCGUGCCGUCCGUUAGACGAGCCGUGCGCCCGUGCCGGCUGCCGCAGCUGGGGAUCUACCGCAAGUUGUGCAGCAGCAGCGUUUGCGUUCCGUCCAACCGCGCCGGCGCGUGUCUCAGGUCUUUGGUUGCAGCGCAACUCGAGCGGGACGGCGGCUCGGCGGCGCCGGCUGGGGAGUGCACGCGUCGAGUGUUCCGGUCGCAUAUGCUUAUGCACGCAGGCCCUUGGGUAAUUACUGAGCUGAAAGCCUGAACGGUCGACAAAAGUUCAGGUAACCUUGCCAUGGCAAACGGUGUUCUUGGACUAUCGGGAGGUGUUUGGCCCGUGCUUCCUGCCCCC
rnacentral:lncRNA from 1 species